GGCACUUUGGCGGAGUGGUUAACGCGCUGCCCUGCUAUAAACUCCCUAUAAUUUCAGGGACAGUCAGGCAGUUCCUUCGGGAGCAAGAGUUCGAAUCUCUUAGGUGUCG